rnacentral:rRNA from 1 species
UAGAGUUUGAUCCUGGCUUAGAUUGAACGCUGGCGUCAGGCCUAACACAUGCAAGUCGAGCGGAAACGAGUUAUCUGAUCCUUCGGGGGACGUUAACGGCGUCGAGCGGCGGACGGGUGAGUAAUGCCUGGGAAAUUGCCUUGAUGUGGGGGAUAACCAUUGGAAACGAUGGCUAAUACCGCAUAAUAGCUUCGGCUCAAAGAGGGGGACCUUCGGGCCUCUCGCGUCAGGAUAUGCCCAGGUGGGAUUAGCUAGUUGGUGAGGUAAUGGCUCACCAAGGCGACGAUCCCUAGCUGGUCUGAGAGGAUGAUCAGCCACACUGGAACUGAGACACGGUCCAGACUCCUACGGGAGGCAGCAGUGGGGAAUAUUGCACAAUGGGCGCAAGCCUGAUGCAGCCAUGCCGCGUGUGUGAAGAAGGCCUUCGGGUUGUAAAGCACUUUCAGCAGUGAGGAAGGC